GCUGGGUGCUGUGGUGCAUGCCUGUAGUCCCAGCUACUUGGGAGGCUGAGGCAGGAGGAUCACUUGAGUCCAUUAUUUCUGGGCUGUAAUAAGCCAUGCUGAUUCGGUAUCCACACUAAGUUUGACACCAAUAUGGUGACCUCCCAGGAGCAGGGGACCACCAGGUUGCCUAAGGAUGGGUGAACCAGACAGGUCAGAAAUGGAGCAAGUUAGAAAUGUGCAAGGUGCUGUUAUAGCCUGUAAAUGAUUGUAGUUAGAAGUUAAAUUUGUUUAU
rnacentral:SRP_RNA from 1 species